GAUGAAGAACGCAGCGAAAUGCGAUACUUGGUGUGAAUUGCAGAAUCCCGUGAACCAUCGAGUCUUUGAACGCAAGUUGCGCCUCAAGCCAUUAGGUUGAGGGCACGUCUGCCUGGGCGUCACAUAUCGUUGCCUGAUGCCAGUUUCCUCGUGAUGGGUGACUGUGCAGGGCGAAUGAUGGCUUCCCGUGAGCAUUGUUGCCUCAUGGUUGGUUGAAUAUUGAGUCCUUGGUAGGGAGCGCCGUGAUAGAUGGUGGUUGAGUGACGAACGAGACCCAAUCAUGUGAGACCCCUACCGAAUUUGGCCUUCAUGACCCACAUGCGUCUUUGGAACGCUCAUGACGAGACCUCAGGUCAGGCGGGGCUACCCGCUGAGUUUAAGCAUAUCAAUAAGCGGAGGA
rnacentral:misc_RNA from 1 species